rnacentral:lncRNA from 1 species
CACAGAAGCCCGAUGUUGGACAAGAGGUGGAUGAAGAAAAGGAGGAGUUGAAGAAGCCCAAAAAGGAGGGCAGUAGCCCCAAGGAGGACACAGAAGACAAGUGGGCGGCAGAGAAAAACAAGGACCACAAAGGACCCCGGAAGGGCGAGGAGCUGGAGGAGGAGUGGGGUCCAGUGGAGAAAAUCAAGUGCCCACCUAUCGGGAUGGAGUCACACCGCAUUGAGGACAACCAGAUCCGCGCCUCCUCCAUGCUGCGCCAUGGCCUCGGAGCCCAGCGGGGCCGGCUCAACAUGCAGGCUGGUGCCAAUGAAGAUGACUACUAUGAUGGGGCAUGGUGUGCUGAGGACGAGUCUCAGACCCAGUGGAUUGAGGUGGACACCCGGAGGACGACUCGGUUCACAGGCGUGAUUACACAGGGUCGGGACUCCAGCAUCCAUGACGACUUUGUGACUACCUUCUUCGUGGGCUUCAGCAAUGACAGCCAGACCUGGGUGAUGUACACCAAUGGCUAUGAGGAAAUGACCUUCCAUGGGAAUGUGGAUAAGGACACACCUGUGCUGAGUGAACUCCCCGAGCCA